AUUGAACGCUGGCGGCAUGCCUUACACAUGCAAGUCGAGCGGCAGCCGCGGGGGGGCAACCCUGGCGGCGAGCGGCGAACGGGGUGAGUAAAUACAUCGGAAAAACGUGUCCAGUAGCGGGGGAUAUAACCUGUCGAAAGAUAGGCUAAUACCGCAUACGAUCUACGGAUGAAAGGCGGGGGACCGCAAGGCCUCGCACUAUUGGAGCGGGCCGAUGUCGGAUUAGCUAGUUGGCGGGGUAGGUAGGUAAAAGCCCACCAAGGCGACGAUCCGUAGCUGGUCUGAGAGGAACGACCAGCCACACUGGAACUGAGACACGGUCCCAGACUCCUACGGGAGGCAAGCAGUGGGGAAUUUUGGGACAAUGGGGGCAACCCUGAUCCAGCCAUGCCGCGUGAGUGAAGAAGGCCUUCGGGUUGUAAAGCUCUUUCGGCGGGGAACCGGAAAACGGUUCGUGACAAACACCACGAACUAAUGACAGUACUCGCAGAAGAAAGCACCGGCUAACUACGUGCCAGCAGCCGCGGUAAUACGUAGGGUGCAGGCGGUUAAUCGGAAUUACUGGGCGUAAAAGCGUUGCGCAGGCGGCCUCCUUAAGUCAGAUGUGAAAUCCCCGGGCUUAACCCUGGGAACUGCGUUUGAAACUGGGGAGCUGGAGUGUGGAAGAGGGGGGGUGGAAUUCCAGGUGUGUAGCAGUGAAAUGCGUAGAGAUCUGGAGGAAACACCGAUGGGCGAAGGCAGCCCCCUGGGCUAACACUGACGCUCAUGCACGGAAAAGCGUGGGGAGGCAAAACAGGAUUAGAUACCCUGGUAGUCCCACGCCCUCCCUCCUAAACGGAUGGUCAACUGGUUGUCGGGGAAGCAAUUCCUUGGUAACGAAGCUAACGCGUGAAGUUGACCGCCUGGGGGAGUACGGCCGCAAGGUUUUAAAAACUCAAAGGAAUUGGCGGGGACCCGCACAAAGCGGUGGAUUAUGUGGAUUAAUUCGAUGCAACGCGAAAAAACCUUACCUACCCUUGACAUGUACGGAAGCCUGCAGAGAUGCGGGUGUGCCCGAAAGGGAGCCCGUUAACACAGGUGCUGCAUGGCUUGUCGUCAGCUCGUUGUCGUGAGAUGUUGGGUUAAGUCCCGCAACGAGCGCAACCCUUGUCAUUAGUUGCUACAUUCAGUUUGGGCACUCUAAUGAGACUGCCGGUGACAAACCGGAGGAAGGUGGGGAUGACGUCAAGUCCCUCAUGGCCCUUAUGGGGUAGGGCUUCACACGUAAUACAAUGGCGCGUACAGAGGGUUAGCCAACCGGGGUGACCGGGGAGCUAAUUCCCAGCAAAAGCCGCGUCGUAGUCCGGAUUGUCAGUCUGCAACUCGACGAGCAUGAAGUCGGAAUCGCUAGUAAUCGCGGAUCAGCAUGUCCGCGGUGAAUACGUUCCCGGGUCUUGUACACACCGCCCGUCACACCAUGGGAGUGGGUUUCACCAGGAAGUCCGUUCGCCUAACCGCAAGGGGGGCGCCUACCACGGUGGAGAUUCAUGACUGGGGUG
rnacentral:rRNA from 1 species